GACGAACGCUGGCGGCGUGCUUAACACAUGCAAGUCGAACGGAAAGGCCCUGCUUUUGUGGGGUGCUCGAGUGGCGAACGGGUGAGUAACACGUGAGUAACCUGCCCUUGACUGUGGGAUAACUUCAGGAAACUGGGGCUAAUACCGGCUAGGAGCUCCUGCUGCAUGGUGGGGGUUGGAAAGUUUCGGCGGUUGGGGAUGGACUCGCGGCUUAUCAGCUUGUUGGUGGGGUAGUGGCUUACCAAGGCUUUGAUGGGUAGCCGGCCUGAGAGGGUGACCGGCCACAUUGGGACUGAGAUACGGCCCAGACUCCUACGGGAGGCAGCAGUGGGGAAUAUUGCACAAUGGGCGGAAGCCUGAUGCAGCAACGCCGCGUGCGGGAUGACGGCCUUCGGGUUGUAAACCGCUUUCGCCUGUGACGAAGCGUGAGUGACGGUAAUGGGUAAAGAAGCACCGGCUAACUACGUG
rnacentral:rRNA from 1 species